AUAAAUGUUAAAAAAUGUAUUGAUUUUUUGGAAUAAUCUUUUUCUGUUCUUUUCCAGAACCAUCUGAAACCCACAGUAUUUAGGAGACUGUAGGAUCUGCUUAGUGUGAGCGUUUUGAUCUCAAUUGCCCUGACUCUGUUUGAUAUGAUUGUGUCUAUGUCCGAGUAAGAUAUUUAGCUAGAAGCAUAUGGGAAGAGAAAACAUAAAGCAAAAAUGAGACUGAAUUGGAAACAUCAGAGCUCCAGUUAUGAAAACCUUAAGAAGAUUAACUGCUGUGAUGCAGCCAUCAGGAAAGAGAUCACAAAAGAGCUAUUGCCUGUACAAUCCUCUUCAUCACUUGUGACCUGGGAUAUUGAGCUCUUGGGCUGGCAGAAUUCCAGUUCAUGAGACAACCUGUGUCGUUCUGGUCUAGCUAGGAGGAAGGCAAAAUGGCGGACAAGUUAGGUGGACAGGGCAUGCUGGUUGAAAACACAGAAGAUGGUAAGAGUGUAAGAGUGUAAGAGUGUAAGAGUGUAAGUCUCCAUAGUUAGUGCAGAUCACCUUCUGGAUUGGAUUUAUGAGCUCACUUGUCUGGGAAGAAGAAUGCCUGGAGCUGAAGUGUCACAGAGGUUCUAACGAGGGUCUCUGGCCAACCUGUUCAAGUUAAAGAGGAGGAGGUCGGCCUCUCAGUCUAUAGCAAAGGAGGACAUGGACUGUGCUUUUUAUGGACACAUAAAAGGCCGAAAAAGGAGCCAUGGAAGAGAAAGUUUAAAGGUACAGGAUUUUUGUUAAAGGUACAGGUUGUUAUUUCACAUUCUGUUUGAAGCAUCUCUGAUUUUCAUUUUUUUCCCCCUAAGUGGGCUUUAUUUUUAGAGCAGUUUUAGGUUCAUGUUAAAAUCGAGCUGAAAGUACAGAGAGUUCCCAUAUACCCCUGACCCCUUACCCCAGCCUCCCUCACAGAUCAACACCCUGCACCAGAGUGGCACAUUUGUUACAAUCGAGGAGCCUACAUAGACACACCGGUAUCAUCCAAAAUCCAUAGUUUACUUUUAGGGUUCACUCUUGGUGUUGUGCAUUCUGUGGAUGGUGACAAAUGUAUAAUGACAUACAUAUAGAAAUUGUAUGACAUACAUAGACAGAAAUUGUAUGAAUCCUAUUCCUUUAAAUUCUGUUCUUUAAAUUGUUAAGGUGGGUCGCCUGGGUGGUUAGUCCGUUAAGCAUCC